AUCUAAACUCUGCAGGGCUUGUGGCCCUCCAGGAACUGAGUUUGACACCCCUGCCCUAAACUAACUAACCAGCACUGUUUCUCUACAACUUUAGGGAAAUAUGAAGCAAAAAUCACAGUAAUUUGGCCACUACAAUCUAGUAUUUGCUGUGACAUUCAGCUCUGUUUCAUCCCCUUCAAAUGACCGACGAUCUAUUCUCAACAGCAGGUAAAUGACUAGAGCAUGCAGGACAAAGCGGACAAGGAAUAAAACGGCGAAUUUGGCACCAUCUAGUGGUUGGAAAGAGAAUGGCAGCAGCGCCGCCACUGCCAGCACUGCUGCUUAUCUGAGCCUAAUCUCAAUACUCAGCCAAAAAAUACACACACAACCAGGCUGCCAGGAGGCUCGAAGUGCAAGCGAGAUCUGACUUACAUCAGGAACUUCUGGUCUUCAGGCACAGCUUCCCUGGGUUUACUGCAGUGAUGCAUGGUAAGAAAUGUGGAGACAGGAUCAG